AAAAAGGAAAAGAAUUUUCUUCUAAUGGAGCGGAGGGAGAGACGGAGUAAUCAUCACCAUAAUGGACGGGUGACUUAUAGGGACCUUUCCCAAGUGCCAGUUCUGGGCUGAGUUAUCUGUUCAGAAACUGCCAGUAAAGCUAACGUACCGACUUUCUUCAGUCUGGAACCGGAUUAAAUAGUAAGAGUCUCAAAAUGUGUUAAAAAUCAGUGAUUCUUGAGAAAACUUAUCUCACCCAUAUCGUGACUUACCUACCACAGAAACUUCUAAAAGCUUGAUAUUAUUUUUAUGUAUGAAAUUCUAGACUCUUGGUCCCAUCUGGUCUCCUAAUAUCCAAGUUCAUGAGAAAAGUAAGUGCCCCCCGCCCCCCAAUUUCCUACAGUGAGCAUUUAACAGGUACCUGCAUCCAACAAGCAGGUAAGGAAAAGUAACAGCUUCCAGAUGUAAACAGGAAUGUAAACAUUACUGGGCUAAUGUGGUCAUUCAUUUUUUCCCCCCUUAGACAAAGGUAGGUUUUCAAGCCAAGUGGAACAUAGGAAUAUCUACAAAUGUAAAAAAUCUGCUCUCAGCGUGUAAUUACAUUUGUUUUUCUA